AUCACCUCCAGGUUCCUCUUGCACAUCUGCACCUGGCGCUGGAUCAAGCCCUUCAGCUUCUCGCAGGUCUCCUCCUCGGAGAUGCUCCCCACUGAAGACAGCUUUGCCAGCUCGAGAUUCUCCAGGCAAACGUGGAUCAAUAAAUUCAAAGCAUGAAUGAAGAAAAGCGCGACAAGAGCCUUUCAAGCUUUUCCAAGGAGAUGCACCUGAUAAGGUGCCUCCCCAGCCCGCAUUUAAUGCUGUUUGGGAUGAUAAAACAAAGGCCGAGGAUGCUUCAAAGGAGGAAGAAUAAUUGCUGGAAUGACAAGGAGACCUUGAAAGAGCCACAGCGGUUGGCAGACAAAGCCAGGAGGUGAGGGGUGGAGAUUGCCUGCCAUGGGAAGGUGUGGAAAUUCCAGUCAUGGACAAAUUCUUAAUAGAGGCAUGUCAGGGAAGAUG